GAGUUUGAUCUUGGCUCAGAACGAACGCUGGCGGCAGGCUUAACACAUGCAAGUCGAACGCGUGUAGCAAUACACGAGUGGCGCACGGGUGAGUAACACGUGGAUAUCUGCCUUUUGGUUCGGAAUAACCCUGGGAAACUAGGGCUAAUACCGAAUGGUUCCUACGGGAUAAAGAUUUAUCGCCAAAAGAUGAGUCCGCGUCCGAUUAGCUAGUUGGUGAGGUAAUGGCUCACCAAGGCGACGAUCGGUAGCUGGUCUGAGAGGACGAUCAGCCACACUGGGACUGAGACACGGCCCAGACUCCUACGGGAGGCAGCAGUGGGGAAUAUUGGACAAUGGGGGCAACCCUGAUCCAGCCAUGCCGCGUGAGUGAUGAAGGCC
rnacentral:rRNA from 1 species